rnacentral:rRNA from 1 species
AACGAACGCUGGCGGCGCGCUUAACACAUGCAAGUCGAACGAGAAGGCGUAGCAAUACGCUUGUACAGUGGCGAACGGGUGAGUAAUACGUGGGCGACCUACCCUCGAGUGGGGAAUAACCCGCCGAAAGGCGGGCUAAUGCCGCGUACGCUUCCAUCUUUAUGGAGGUGGAAGGAAAGCCGUGCCGUGGGCACGGCGCUCAAGGAUGGGCUCACGUCCUAUCAGCUUGUGGUAGGACGCCUACCAAGGCUCCGACGGUAGCUGGUCUGAGAGGACGAUCAGCCACACUGGCACUGCGACACGGGCCAGACUCCUACGGGA